rnacentral:lncRNA from 1 species
CUAGCUGGGAUUACAGGCACCAGCCACCACACCCAGAUUCCUGAUGACAACAAAUAUACACUGGAACCCCCAAGGGCUUUGCAGGUUCACUGAUUUCCAGAUAUUUCUCUUGGGAUUCUGCUAUAGGACCUGAAGUUAUCUGCUUGCUGAGGCAUGAAGAAAUAAAUAAAAUAAUAGGAAAAUAUGAAAAAGUAAAAUAAGCGUUUAUAGAAGUGAUGUGUUUCAUUGAAGAAAUCCAGGUACAGCCACUGGCAUAGUCUCUGACAUCUUCAUCAGUACAAGAUAAGAUUACUUGACUUGGCUCGAGUUGAAAAUCAUGAGUAAGUGAUCUUAAUUCUAAUUCAAAAAUAGAAAACCAUUCUGCUGGAUAUCUGUUAGACUAUGCCUAGCAGGCAUUUUUUUGAAAAUCUGAACCCAACUUCUGUUCAUGAAACAGUAGAUUGCUUAUUCCAAAGAAGAAUGCUUCAUUCAUUACUUUCUAUUUAAAACAUCUUAUUGUACUCCCUGAGACUGCGUUCACAAGAUCAUGCCUAUUAGAAUCCUCUUGUUCUAUUUAUCAGAGGAUUCCAUCUUACACAUGCAUAAUGACGUCUGUUUUACAUGAAUACUAGGUUUUCUUGGUAGCUUGAGAACUGACGCUGCAGCAGCUCUUCCUGUAGCAGGCACAAAGCCUGGCUCUAUCCACCUCAUCAUGUUACUGGGCUGAGUUACAUACUAACAGCAGCUCAAUUUUUCUCCCUAAGAAAAAUACUUUUCCCCAAGUAUUUUGUUUCUAUCACUGCUGUAAAAUUAAAACAUAACUCUUAUUUCUUCAUGUCUACAUUAUAUCUAAAUUCAUGUAUUGUCAUGUUUCUUCUUGAUAAUAUAUAUAAGGCUAUCUAAUCUACAUUUUAAAACUUGCCUUUUAUAAACGUGGUCUUAGUUGUCAGGUCCAUUUAUGUCAUCACUAUUAAUGAGUAUUUCUUUGAAAACACCCACACCCAUAUGCAUGUCUAUUAAUCACUUCAUCAAGGACCAGUCACCUUUAAUGUCAACCAUGAUAGCAUAAUUUCUUAAUUUCAGUAAUUUGGUUUGUGAUUUUUCAUCACAUAUUAUGUUCCAGUCUCCUUUAAUUAAAAAAAAUCUUCAUAUCCCCUUAAGAUUCAUAAAUUUUUUUCCUCUAAAUUUCAUUUUUCCUUUUAGAUUUGUGCUACUUGAAUCUCCUUAUUUGAGAGUAAAGGGAACAUUCAAAGAUAUCUGAGCCACACUAAAAUCAAUAAAAUCAUUUUCCUUAUCUUAGUCAUUUCUUUAUCAUUUCUUUUUGGUCUUGUCAGAUUCAUAUCUGGUGUCUAUUAUUAUAUUUGCUGUUGUUACUAUAAAAUAAUAACUAAUAUUAGCUGCAUUAUUUAUUGAGCAUUUACUAGGUGCUAAACAAUUUAUAUACAUCAUCUCGUUUAAUCCUCAUCACUACCCUAUAAAAUAGAUACCAAAACCUUGUUUAAUAGAUUAAAAAAGCUGUGAGGUUAAACCUACCCCAAGCCACCCAGGCAGAGUCCACUUGACCCCAGGCUGUGCCCUUUCUAAUACACUACUCACCCACUGCUGCCACAUUCUGAUGAUAUUUGAGACUUAAAGUAUUCCUGACUUACAUUAAAUUUUUGAAGAGCUCAUAUAUGACCACUUGUAACAAGCCUCAACUUUUCUCCCCUCAUUGCCUGUGCCUUGAAAGUCAAUGUAAAAUACUUAAGGUUAGCACUGAAUAUGUCUUCUCAGUGUUGAGAAGCGCAUAAGUGCUAAUCAAAUGAAACAAACAGUUUAGAUAACAGUGGCAUUUUAAUUGACCAAACAUACUUUAACUAUCUGAAAUAUUUUCUAUUAAUACUGCUUAUAAGUCCACCAAUUUCAGUUUAUGUUGUAUUUAUAAGGGCUUUUUAAAAAAUGAAGCUCUGUGUUGUCAUUCAUAUU